GUCUGUUUAGUAGGCCAAACGUGAAGAUGGAAAGCAAACUGCCAAAGAGAAUAAAAGCAAGACCAGCUUGAGAUAUGUUUUAAUAAUGUCAAAACUAAAAAAAAGUUAAUAAUGAAAGUGUUAGUCUAUUAAAAUGUAAUAUAGAUGUGUUAAAGGAUAAGGAUAGAAUAAGAAAUACUUUUUACCCAUUAGCAUUGUGAAACAGAGAUAUAGC